GCCACACUUUGCACUCCCAAAAAAUCUCUCUUAUAGCAAUUUUUCAUUCUCAUCAGAUUUAUUAUGUGAUAUGUACAAAGCAAAUAUCCAAACAAGCACACAGGCGUAGAUCAGAUAUAUAUAUACAUAUGUAUGUGAAGACACGGCAACAAUAAGCGGCGGACAAAGGAACCCAUCUAGAGUCAUGCAGGUCGAAUGCCUCCAGAGACAACAGCUCGCCAGGCUGU